UACGUAGGGUGCAAGCGUUGUCCGGAAUUAUUGGGCGUAAAGCGCGCGUAGGUGGCUUCGUAAGUCCGUUGUGAAAGUCAAAGGCUCAACCUUUGAAAGCCGAUGGAUACUGCGGAGCUAGAGUACGGAAGAGGCGAGUGGAAUUCCUGGUGUAGCGGUGGAAUGCGCAGAUAUCAGGAGGAACACCAAUAGCGAAGGCAGCUCGCUGGGACGUUACUGACACUGAGGCGCGAAAGCGUGGGGGAGCGAACAGG
rnacentral:rRNA from 1 species